UACGUAGGGGGCAAGCGUUAUCCGGAUUUAUUGGGUUUAAAGGGUGCGCAGGCGGAUUUUUAAGUCAGCGGUAAAAGCCCGGGGCUCAACCCCGGCCCGCCGUUGAAACUGGCAGUCUCGAGUUGGAGAGAAGUAUGCGGAAUGCGUGGUGUAGCGGUGAAAUGCAUAGAUAUCACGCAGAACCCCGAUUGCGAAGGCAGCAUACCGGCGCCCGACUGACGCUGAGGCACGAAAGUGCGGGUAUCGAACAGG
rnacentral:rRNA from 1 species